rnacentral:rRNA from 1 species
UCCUGCCAGUAGUCAUAUGCUUGUCUCAGAGAUUAAGCCAUGCAUGUCUAAGUACAUACCUUCAAACGGUGAAACCGCGAAUGGCUCAUUAAAUCAGCUAUGGUUCCUUGGAUCGUACAUACUACAUGGAUAACUGUAGUAAUUCUAGAGCUAAUACAUGCCACUAUGCCCUGACCCGCAAGGGAACGGGUGGAUUUAUUAGAACAGAACCAACCGGGGGCGGCUUCGGUCGUCCYUGUUGCAUUCUGUGAUGACUCUGGAUAACUUCACUGAUCGCAGUCGGCCUUGUGUCGGCGACGGAUCUUUCAAAUGUCUGCCCUAUCAAUUAUCGAUGGUAGGUGACCUGCCUACCAUGGUGCUAACGGGUAACGGGGAAUCAGGGUUCGAUUCCGGAGAGGGAGCCUGAGAAACGGCUACCACUUCCAAGGAAGGCAGCAGGCACGCAAAUUACCCAAUCCCGGCACGGGGAGGUAGUGACGAAAAAUACGGAUACGGGACUCACUUGAGGCUCCGUAAUUCGAAUGAGUACAAUUUAAAUCCUUUAACGAGGAUCAACUGGAGGGCAAGUCUGGUGCCAGCAGCCGCGGUAACUCCAGCUCCAGAAGCGUAUAUUAAAGUUGUUGCAGUUAAAAAGCUCGUAGUUGGAUCUGGGUUGCAUGGCUACACGCUCGUGUGUUCGUUAUGGCUAUGCCGUGACAGACAUGCGAGUCGGUUUCGUGGUUGUGCUUCCUUUUUGCUGUGUCUGUUUACAGGUGUCAGCGUGGCUGGUGGGUUUACCUACUGGUCUGUUGGCAUGCUUCUUGAUGCCCUUAACCGGGUGUCGGAGGCGGACAGCACGUUUACUUUGAACAAAUUUGAGUGCUCAAAGCAGGCCUUUGUGCCUGAAAAUUCUUGCAUGGAAUAAUGGAAUAGGACUUCGGUUCUAUUUUGUUGGUUUUCGGAUCCGAAGUAAUGGUUAAGAGGGACAGACGGGGGCAUUUGUAUGGCGGUGUUAGAGGUGAAAUUCUUGGAUCGCCGCCAGACAAACUACAGCGAAAGCAUUUGCCAAGGAUGUUUUCAUUGAUCUUGAGCGAAAGUCAGAGGUUCGAAGACGAUCAGAUACCGUCCUAGUUCUGACCAUAAACGAUGCCAACUGACGAUCCGUGGUGGUUCUUUAUGUGUCCCCACGGGCAGUCCCCGGGAAACCCUUAAGUCUUUGGGCUCCGGGGGAAGUAUGGUUGCAAAGCUGAAACUUAAAGGAAUUGACGGAAGGGCACCACCAGGAGUGGAGCCUGCGGCUUAAUUCGACUCAACACGGGAAAACUCACCCGGCCCGGACACUGUGAGGAUUGACAGAUUGAUAGCUCUUUCUUGAUUCGGGGGUUGGUGGUGCAUGCCCGUUCUUAGUUGGUGGAGCGAUUUGUCUGGUUAAUUCCGAUAACGAACGAGACUUUGGCCUGCUAAAAUAGUAUGCCUGUCCUCUGUGCUCGUGCAGGUUGCGUUUUCCAUUGCCUCUUCGUGGGGUAGUGGUGACGUUAGCCGGCGGGUGCGGCGCAGGUAAUUACUUCUUAGAGGGACAAGCGGCGUUCCAGUCGCACGAAAUUGAGCAAUAACAGGUCUGUGAUGCCCUUAGAUGUCCGGGGCCGCACGUGCGCUACAAUGACGGUUUCAGCGAGUUUGGAAUCCUGGCCUGAGAAGGUUGGGUAAACUGAAUCAUAACCGUCGUGACUGGGAUCGGGGCUUGCAAUUGUUCCCCGUGAACGAGGAAUUCCUGGUAAGUGCAAGUCAUAAGCUUGCGCUGAUUACGUCCCUGCCCUUUGUACACACCGCCCGUCGCUACUACCGAUUGAAUGGCUUAGCAAGGUCCUCGGAUUGGUGCCAUUGUAGUGGCUUCGGCCGCUCGACCGGCGCUGAGAAGACGACCAAACUUGGUCAUUUAGAGGAAGUAAAAGUCGUAACAAGGUUUCCGUAGGUGAACCUGCGGAAGG